CGUGCAAGAAUGCAGUCGAGCGGAUAACCAGGGUAGCAAUAUUCUGGUUGUUCAGCGGCGCAAGGGUGCGUAACACGUGGGUAAUUUGCCAUGAAGUCUGGAAUAACUUGCUGAAAGGCGAGCUAAUGCCGGAUGUGACUUCCGAAGGGCAUCUUUUGGAAUUCAAAGCUGGAACCGUAAGGUCUGGCGCUUUUUGAUAAGCCCGCGGUCUAUCAGCUAGUUGGUGAGGUAACGGCUCACCAAGGCUAAGACGGAUAGCUGGUCUGAGAGGACGACCAGCCACACUGGAACUGAGACACGGUCCAGACACCUACGGGUGGCAGCAGUCGAGAAUUUUUCACAAUGGGCGAAAGCCUGAUGGAGCGACGCCGCGUGGGGGAUGAAUGGCUUCGGCCCGUAAACCCCUGUCAUUUGCGAACAAACCUUACCGGUUAAUACCCGGUGAGCCGAUUGUAGCGGAAGAGGAAGGGACGGCUAACUCUGUGCCAGCAGCCGCGGUAAUACAGAGGUCCCGAGCGUUGUUCGGAUUCACUGGGCGUAAAGGGUGCGUAGGUGGUGAGGUAAGUCGGAUGUGAAAUCUCCGGGCUCAACCCGGAAAUGGCAUUGGAAACUACCUUGCUGGAGGAUUUGAGGGGGGAUUGGAAUACUUGGUGUAGCAGUGAAAUGCGUAGAUAUCAAGUGGAACACCAGUGGCGAAGGCGAAUCCCUGGAAAAUACCUGACACUGAGGCACGAAAGCUAGGGGAGCAAACAGGAUUAGAUACCCUGGUAGUCCUAGCCCUAAACGGUGCUUGCUUGCUGUAAGAGGAAUCGACCCCUCUUGUGGCGGAGCUAACGCGUUAAGCAAGCCGCCUGGGAAGUACGGUCGCAAGAUUAAAACUCAAAGAAAUUGACGGGGGCCUGCACAAGCGGUGGAGUAUGUGGCUUAAUUCGAUGCAGCGCGAAGAACCUUACCUGGCCUUGAC
rnacentral:rRNA from 1 species